rnacentral:rRNA from 1 species
UAGUCCUAGCUGUAAACGAUGAGCACUAGAUGGGAGGGGGCUUGCCCUGUCCGGUCGCAGCGAAAGCAUUAAGUGCUCCGCCUGGGGAGUAUGGUCGCAAGGCUGAAACUCAAAGGAAUAGACGGGGACCCGCACAAGUGGUGGAGCAUGUGGUUUAAUUCGAAGAUACGCGAAGAACCUUACCUAGCCUUGACAUAUUUUAGAACACUUUAGAGAUAGAGUGGUGCCUUCGGGAGCUAAUAUACAGGUGCUGCACGGCUGUCGUCAGCUCGUGUCGUGAGAUGUUGGGUUAAGUCCCGCAACGAGCGCAACCCUCGUCACUAGUUACUAACGGUUCGGCCGAGGACUCUAGUGAGACUGCCUUCGCAAGGAGGAGGAAGGUGAGGACGACGUCAAGUCAUCAUGGCCCUUACGGCUAGGGCAACACACGUGCUACAAUGGCCAGGACAAUGAGAAGCGAUACCGCGAGGUGGAGCAAAUCUAUAAACCUGGUCUCAGUUC